rnacentral:lncRNA from 1 species
ACACCGUCUUACUGCCUAACUCCUCGGAACCCUCGGAGGUUGCGCAUAAACAAUUUUUUCUUCCAGAACGGCCCCCCUCUCCGCCCUGGGGGAGCCGGGAGGAUGUGCAGCCCCAGUCCUCCUGCUCGGCGGAGCCUCGCGCGCGCAGAGCCUAGCGCGAUUCGCGCCCUCAUUACUACUACAAAGCGCGGGCCAGACCAAUCCCCUUUCUAAUGCACCAUUUUCGACUGAGAACAUCAAGAGGCCAGAAACUUCCAAGUCAGCUUGCAGACGCAGACGCCUCCUGGGGUCCUGGCUUUAAGAACCAGAUGCCAACACUCCCGGACAGUUUAUGGCAUCCGGAUCCCUCAAGGGUGCUCAUCUGCAGUUGAGAGUUCACCAUGUAACAAAUGCAGACAUCUCUGAGAUCACCAUGCAGUGAGGAAGUCUAAGCUGGUGGCAUGAAGAGGCCACAUGGAAAGGGCUAAAAAAGGGGCCAGCCUCAGUCAUCCCAGCUGAGCACCUGGCUGGGAAUAAAAGAGGACUCCGUGGAUGUCCAGCCCAGUAAGAUGACCUCAGCCCCAGCCACCAACUGACCAAGCACACAAGACAUCGUGAGGCUGCCUGCUGGAGCCUGGCCAGUGGGACUGUAGAGUAACUCAUUGUCGUGCAGGAACUCCUGGGAUGGUGUUGCCCAGUGACACAAUCCCAGUGUGGCCAUUUCUGAUCCCGAGAAAGCAGUCAGGAGUGGGUGGAUGCAGUUACAGUUCAUCAAGUCCUGCUAGUUCAAGUCAUGAGUCCUGAAUUCUCCAGGAGGAGCCACUAAAGAAAUGCAGAAGCAGGCAAUCCUUGCAAUAAGGCCAGCAAACUGCCAGUGUGAAGGAUGCCCAGGUAACCUGCCCAUGCCAGAACGGCCAGGAGAUGGUGGAACCAGAAUCUAAGCCCACGCCCAUCUGACCUCAAAGUCUGUGCUCCUGAGGUUCGCACCGAGUUGCCUCCUAAGACUUGCUGAAACUGGAUCACGUCCAUUUACCCAUCUCUGAGAGAAAUGCAAGCUUUAAAAAAGGAAAUAUUUACUAUGGAUAUUUUACAAUAGUUCCAAAACAUGAAAGUUUUAAAUAAGAUAUUCUUAACCAUCCUCACCACAUCUUCAGGUUCCCUUACAGCCACUGUGUUUUGACGAUUGCCCAUUAGAAAAAAAGACUAUGCUUUCUGUAGGUUUUAAAGGAAUGGUGGUGAAAUAAGGAGCAUUCCCUGAGCAGAUCUUGCCUGCGGGCACACCUCUGAGCAUUGGACCAGGCGAGAAGAGCCCAUGUGUUGGCUGCUUUGGGAUCCCAGCACUGCCAAUGGCAGGUGGGCUGUGGCCCAGGGAGAGAACCUAGCCUUUUGCAUUCUCUUGCCCCAUUUGAAAAUGGAGACGAUAGUGGCGCCCCGCUCAGUGUUAUUUUGAGGAUUUGAAUGUAUCUCAGAUGUAGUACCUGGAAAAAUAUAAGUGCUCAGUAAAUACGGUUGCCAGAUAAAAUGCAGGAAACCUAUUUAAAUUUAAGUUUUGGCUGGACAAUGAAUAGAAUAAUUUUUCUUAGUAUGAGUAUGUCCUUAUAUUUCAUCUGCUAAAUUUAGCAACCUCCUCAGUAAACGAUCACUACAAUUGCAGAAACGCCUUAUGACAGAUAUAGUAAAUCUGUAAAGAAAUAGGAACUUGCAUUUAUUUUUACUAAGCUCUGACUGGUUAAGAUAACUGGGCAAGAGAAGAUAUCUUCGACUAAACUUGCAGCACAUAGAGUAUAGAGAUUCAAAUUUGAAGUCCUAUAGGACUAGAAUGGCCAGAGGUGAACUGUAGCGAGCUUAUCUAAAGAGGACCAAUUUCAAAAGUUCCUCAGAGACUUAAAUGGGCCCACAGACCCCUCCUGUGUCUUUGCAUAAGCCAGCUCGUUAUAUCAGUUAUAAGUUGAUUUCCAGAGAAAUGUACCCUGGAGAUCCCUCUCCCACUUGAAAUAGGACUGGCCAAUCCAGAUGUCCCCCAGGUGAUGUUGGCUCAAAUGGAGCUCCAUAUAUUGGAGAAUCUAUUCAAGAAAACAAGCAAAAGUAUUUGUGACUGAGUUAGCUAAUGCCAGCUGGUAUCUUGAACAAACCCAGAUCUCUAACAUGCUAGUUUAUUUCGUAGUGUAAAAUGUGUGUUACUGAUGGGCAGACAGCUCUCAUUCAAGCAGUGACAGAUGUAAGCUCUUCCCAUUUUUGUGGCCCCAUUGUAUUCGGCGUGUGGCUUCCAAGUUGCCUGGGAUCAUCUCCACCCAGACUAAGGAAGAGGAAAGAGCUUGGACAACUGCACUUGGCUGGUUUUUAUGGAUCAGGCAAGGAAUUGGCUCCAACACAUUAGCUCACAUUCCAUUGGUUAGAACUGGGUUUCUCAACUAUUAGUACAGGGUGAGUGUAGGGUUUUGGCACCAUGGGCAUUUGAGCUGGCCAAAGGCUAAUCAGAGUUAGAACAAAGCCACAAAGCCUGUGAAUGGUGUUUAUUGUUGUGAGGAGCUGUCUUGUGCAUUGUGGAAUGUUCAGCAGGAUGCUCUCUGGCCUCAGAGACUCACUAGAUUCCCAUAGAACUCUCCUCUCUCCUCUAGUUGUGACAACCACAGUUGCCUCCUCUCCAGACAUUGCUAGAUGUCCCCGGGAGGCAAAAUUGUCCUGGUUGAGAACCACUGUGUUAGAACUCGGUCACAUGGCCAUACCUAACUGCAAGGGAGGGGGCUGGAAGAUCUAGACGAGUAGUAUGCCAGGAAGAAAAUAGAACUGAUUUAGAGGCUGCUGGCCAGUCACUUUCAGUGACCUUCAGCAUACUUAUUCCUCUGCAGCUGUCAGGACACUCAUGCCUGUUUCUGAGAUGUUUCCUGUGUGAGGGGACAUAGUGACUAUUGGAGGGGUGACAUGUUGGACUUGGGUAGGGUGAAGAGGAUUGGAAACCACCAUCAUGUUUGGCAGCAUUGAAUGUUUAUGACUAUUUGAAUAGUUGUGACAAGGGUACAGUGAAGGAGGAAGUAACCAUUUUUGAAUACCCUUUUACAAUUUGCAAAGCACUUUUAAAGGUAAGAGUGAGUUCCUAGACCAUAUUAGGGUGAGAAUGGACAUUGUUGGCUGCCAUAUCAUUGGGCAGGGGCUUUGAGAUUUUUGUCUUCAGAAGGCAGAUUAGAUUUGGAGUAGAAGGAGAAAUGUAAAGACCUGGUAUCUGAGUGUGUUUGCAGAGGGGAAUUGUCGUUUGGAAGCACAAGAAAGGGAAUGGCCCGUUGGCACAUAUGGUACAUUGUGUUUUCAUAUAAUUAUACCUGAAUGAAAGCAAGAGGAAACGUGUAGGAAGCUGUUUACAUAGUCCUUUUAAUAAUGUUUACAUGAGUUAAUGAACAUGCAAACGUAUCUGAUGAAAACAUGUCAGUAGUGAAACAGCCUUGUGAAGAAUCAGAUCUUACCUCAGGCUGGAAAAAAGGACUGGUUUUCCAAGCUCACAAAUUGCAGCCAGUGUGAAUAGUAGCACAAAUGACUGAGCUUUAAGACAUCCAUCCAUCCAUCUAUCCAUCCCCUCAUCCAUCCAUCCCCUCAUCCAUCCACCCAUCCAUCCAUCCCUUCAUCCAUCACUCCAUCCAGCCAUCCGUCCCUUCAUCAAUCCAUCCAUCCCUUCAUCCAUCCAUCCAUCCUUCCUUCCAUUCAUCCCUUCAUCCAUCCGUCCAUCCAUCCAUCCAUCCACUCAUUCAUCCCUUCAUCCAUCCAUCCAUCCAUCCUUCCUUCCUUCCAUUCAUCCCUUCAUCCAUCCGUCCAUCCAUCCAUCCACCCAUUCAUCCAUCCAUUCCUUCAUCAACUCAUCCCUUCAUCCAUCGUCUACCAUUCAUUCACCCCUUCAUCCAUCCAUUCAUUUAUCCAUCCGUCCAUUUACUUCCAUCCAUCCCUUUAUCCAUCCAUUCACCCAUUCAUCCCUUUAUCCAUAUGUCCAUUCCUCCAUCCAUCCAUCCAUCCAUUUACUCUUCAUCCCUUCAUCCAUUUUUCCAUCCAUUCAUCCAUUCAUCUUUUCAUCCAUCCAUCCAUUGAUCUAUCCAUCCAUCCAUUGCUCCAUCCAACCAUCCAUCCAUCCCUUCGUCCCUUCAUCCAUCCAUCCAUUCAUCCCAUCAUCCAUUGAUCACUUCAUCCAUCCAUCCUUCCAUCCUUCCAUCCAUUCUUCCAUUCAUCCAUCCAUGUGUUCAGCAAGUAUUUACUGAAUGCCUAUUAUGUGCCAAGCACUCUCCUCAGAACUUAGGAAAUACCAGGAAACAAAAUCAACAACAAUCCCUCACCACCUGGAUAUUACAUUUUGGUGGGAAGAGACAAAGAAAUAAAAUUGGUGAGUGAAUCACAUAGGUUAUUAGAAGGUGAUAAAGGUGUAGGUGAUAAAGGAGAAGUGCCAGGAGCAAGGAUUGGGUACAGUUGUGAAUAAGGUGGCCCCAAUAGGUUGCACUGAGAAGGUGACAUUUGCACAGAGACUUGAAGAAAGGAAGGAGAGAACAUGACUGUACCUGGGUAACAGCAUUUGUGGAAGAGGGAACAGCCAGUGUAAAAGUUCCAAGGCAUGAGUGCCUGGUACAUACAUGGAACAUCGAGGCCAGGGUGGCAGAAACGCGGUGAGUCCAGGAAGGGAAUAGGAACUAAGUGUAGGAAGGUGUACAGUGGGGUGGUGUGGGGGUGGAAUUGUGGCAGCCAGAUGGUGUUGGCCUAAGGCCUCUUGGCCCUUGUUAGGACUUGGUUUACCAUGGCGCAACACAUCCAUGAGAUUGGCAAAAAUUAAAAAGUCUGACAACAGAAAAUCUGGUAAUCUGGUGAGGAUGUGGAGCAGUGGGAAUUCUCCAAUACUGCCAGGGAGCAUGGGCAUCAAUCCCACCACACUGGAAUGCAAAGGGGCAUUCUGAGUAGAACUGAAGAUGUGCCCAUCCUUGACCCCACAGUUCCAGCCAUGGGCAUGCGCAUGAAUGUGCACACGUGUUGACUGCGGCAUUUGUUUGUCAUUAUGAAAACAUCUAAGUUUCCAUCUAUGGGAGAGGGGAUAAUGUGGGAGUGCCCAACAGUGGAGUUCUAGAGAGCAGUAAAAAUAAAUGGACUAGAGCUGCACACGUCAAAAUGGAUGAAGAUAAAAGACAUAAGGAUGGAAGAAGACCACCUGGCCACAGAAGUAUAUGUCCAAUAUGAUGCUGGUGUAUCCAGAGUGUUCAAACAAACAACACAACACUACUCAUUGUUUCCAACGUGAGUAUGAAAGUAUGGAGCAGUGCGGAGGGCCAGGAGUGCUGAAUCCACAUGGUUACUUCUCCAGGCGGGGGCCGAGGACCAGGGCUGGAGGUUUACUCCAGGAGCUUCAGUGGUGCAUGCUGAAUGUGCUGUUUCUUGGGCUGGGGGACAGAGAUGUGCAUGCUGUUAUACACUCUAUAUUGAAAUGAUUGUAUAACAAUAUACUAAUUUAUCAUGUAAUAAAUUUGACCAGAAAGAAACAACUGUUCUGUGGCUGCUUCCAUGACUGGAUUUCACGUUGUAGGUUUCUAAGCAGAGAGUCCAAGGAAAACCAAAGGAGCGGCGGAAGGAUAAGCCUCCCGGGUGUUCUGGGAGUGUCCCUUUGCUUGGGCUCCUCCGUUAGAGUUGAGAAAACCUGGGACUUGUGACUACUGGAGUCAACCUGGGAUCCUGGCACCAAAUGCCAGCAGAAACAAUCCUGCCCCCCUCGGAAGAUGAGAUGAGGUUCUUUAUGGAACAUGAGUGCAGUUCGAGAGCUUCAGGUAGAAAGCCCAGUCGUCCUUACCCUGCGUGGCCCAUCCAGGAUCACGAAUGGGGUCAGCCUCAGGGAGCUAUGAGCCUGGUGUCUGAGACACAGCUUGGGCCUUUGUACUGCUGGAAGCACAGGGAACCCUGAGGGUUGAUCAACUCCCCAGCAAAGACAAACUGGCAUGCUCGUCAGUGUGAGAACAAAGCUACAAGACCUAGGAGUGGCAUUUUGCAGAUCUGCUGUUUUUCAAAAAAACUUGUGCUUGAAUGUGUAUAACAUAAAAUUUACCAUUUAAGCCUUGUGUGUGUGUGUGUGUGUGUGUGUGUGUGUUUGAGAUGGUGUCUCGCUCUGUGGCCUGGCUGCAGUGCAGUAGCUCACUGCAACCUCCACCUCCCAGGUUCGAGCGAUUCUCCUGCCUCAGCCUCCCGAGUAGCUGGGAUUACAGGCACCAGCCACUACACCCAGCUAAUUUUUUAUAUUUUUGGUAGAGAUGGGGUUUCGCCAUGUUGGCUAGGCUGGUCUCGAACUCCUGACCUCGUGAUCCACCCAAAGUGCUGGGAUUAUAG